rnacentral:lncRNA from 1 species
UCUGGUUUUGAUUCAAAUGAAAUUGUAUAAAUACAUAUAAUUAGUAUUGUUGCUUACAUGCGACUUUAGAAUUUGUUUCUUUUCUCCACAUUUUUUGUUCCAAAUUUUCAUACCAAACAGCUAAAUUUUGGGUCCUUAAUCCCAAUCCACAGUUUGUUCUGAUCACAAACAGCUCCUCAAAUUCAUUGGUGAUGCUCUUUCUUCAUUCUGAGGUAUCUAUUAUGCCUUUUUAUGUAUUUGUCUUUUACCCUUUUAGGUGUUUUCCAUUGAUGGAAAGAUAGAGAAUGCAUAAAAGCAAAUACCCAUUUUGGUUUAUUUGUUUACGAGAUUAAGUUUUCUUGUUUGAUGAUCAUGGAUAUUGUUACGGACAGGGGAAUGAAUUGGGGUUCGAAAAUAAACCAAAUAUGGAAAGUGGGAAGCAAAGUUCAAAUGGUUCUUGCAUUUGAUGAAUUGAGGAUGAUUUGAAUGAUCUUCUUCUUGAUUGUUUUUACAGAAAUAGUGAUUUUUUCGGAUUAAAAAUGCGAUUGUUGAUCUGGGUUUUUGAGGGGA